UUCUCUUUCAUUUCCAGCAAUUGACUCUAAUAAGCCUGAUUCUUGUUGCAUUUUGGAUAAAGAGAAGGGCCUUGCUGAGGUCAUUUGCAUUUGCUAUGGCCUCCACUCUUGCUCCUCCGGAUGACCUCCACAUUGCUGGCUUCUUGUUGGAUAUAAAGAAGAUGACAAUUAGCGUGUGGGGAGUCCCCAAGACAUUUUGAUGUUAAACGUGGGUCCUUCUUCUUGACAAGGGAUACACACCUACCUACCGAGAGACCUCCAAACAGAGACAUCAACACAGAAACCUCCGCAGAGAUAACCAGAUCUCCAUAUGCAAACCCAUGUAAAAAGAAACCUAGAGAAACAGAUGCCCAGAUGAAGAGGGCAGGUGGAGCUACUGCCUGGAAGGACUCAAUGUGCUUCAGUGGCUGAUGCCCACUCCUUAAAAAACAAAACAAAACCCAAAACAACAAGUGGUAUAGAGAGAAACAAGAAUUACCAAAAGGGAAAAUUACUUGGUCUAGAAUUAUUUUGUGAUUGUCCAAAUACCUGCACCAGCGUCUGACCAAUAACGCAUACUCCGUAUAGUGAAUGAAUACAUGUGACAUAAUCUGAUGACCAGACUGUAGCUUGAGUUUAGAAUAGUAAUUCUGUCUGCCUUUUUCUGUUUUGUUUUUCUCUCCUGUCCCUUUGAUCUUUGUAUAUUCCUGUCUUUGGACACCCACCUCCAUCAAAAUGUCAUAGAAAAAUUCUGUGAAACUUGACUGCAGGGUCAAAGUGAUGUCAAAGGGAGGUUUGGGGAGAGGCAUGUGAUGAAAAUAGCCCAGCUGAGGUUCCCAUCUGUUUCCCAUGCCGUAUAGCACUAUGCCCUAGGCAGUGUUUCUUGAAGUGUUUCCCCAGCGUCUGCAUCAGUAUCAGCUGGGUUGUUUGUCAAAAAUUCCAAUUCCCAGGCCACACCCCAAAGAAUCUGAUUCAGUGCUUCUGGGCUGGGGCACUCUUAAGUAGUUCUGCAAAACACAGCUUGAGAAUCUCACUUGUAGAUUAAGGAGAGUGAACAAUCUUUUAUCCUUAAUCCUAAAAUCUAAAGAGUACUGAAAACUGAAAACCGCUGGGUUUUCAUAGCUCAUUUUGGUGGCAAAAUCUGAUCCAUGAAGUGACAUCACACUAUAAAUGAUCCUUAUUUAUUGCACAUAAUGUGGACAUUCAUACACUUUGCUGCAGAAAUAUUAGUGUGUUUGAUUAGAAGUAGCUCUCCCUGACCCUACUGGGAAUGUUAAGGGAUGUAGGGUAUGUACAUUGUGCUGAACUGUCUUUCUAAAAUCCAAAGAAUUCUUUUUUUUUUUGAGACGGAGUCUCGCUCUGUCACCCAGGCUGGAGUGCAGUGGUGCGAUCUCGGUUCACUGCAACCUCCGCCCCACUGGAUUCAAGCGAUUCUCCUGCCUCAGCCCCCUGAGUAGCUGGGACUACAGGCACAUGCCACCACACCUGGCUAAUUUUUUGUAAUUUUUUUGUGGAGACGGGGUUUCACCAUGUUAGCCAGGAUAGUCUCAAUCUCCUGACCUCAUGAUCUGCCCGCCUCGGCCUCCCAAAGUGCUGGGAUUACAGGUGUGAGCCACUGCGCUUGGCCCAAAGAAUUCUUGAAUUCAGAAACACACUUGGCUUUAGGGGGUUCAGGUAAAGGGCACCUGUACUAAAUCCUCAUGUGCAGUCUAUAGGUGGUAUUUGGGUCCGAUUUAAAAAAAAAAGCCUAAUAAAAGGAAUGUUAGUUUGGGAGCCAGAAGACUUCAUCCUUCUGGCUUCAAUUCUCUACCCUGAGAAGGAGAUGGCAUUUAAAGUCUUCUGUCUCUAAAAUUUUGAUUUCCACACCUUCUUGCUUUCUUAAGAAAUGUUCAGACAUUACUGCCAUAAAGAUGAGAUUGUUGUGUAUUGUUAUUUGUAUUAAAAAUUUAGAAAGGUGAAAAUCUUUUUCUUUCUCAUAGGUUUCCAGACAGAUUCUUGGCUGACGUUUCUGUCAGUGGUGUGAAAGGACAUUUACCCAGAUUCUAUAGAUAUUUUGGUUAUGCACUCAACAAACCUACAAUGAAACUACCAGAAUACAAAAGCAAUUGUGAACUCCAGAGAGUGCUAGAAAACAUUAUGGAAGAGGGUAUAGUUUAUGUUAAUUAUAGAGGACUAAAGAGAUGUAGAAUAGGAGAGCUGAAAAAGCCUCCACUUCCAGUGGCUCUUAGAGUGUAAUUAGUCCAAGGGACAGCAAGCUGCCUUCUAGCAGAAUCGUUGUGAUCCCAAAGCCCACAUGACUGGGGCCUCUCUCUGGUCCUUUAUACAGUAAUUAAUAUUUAAAAGAUCUCGCUAAAGCCCUGUCAAGUCCUGAAGCAAGAUUUUGAAAAAUAAAAAAACUCAUAAAACACAAAAUAGAACAAAACAAUGAGCUCUGAGUUUGCUUUGUUGAAAGCAAUGGGUUGAAUUGUGUCUCCCCAUAAUAUGUAUUUUGAAGUCCUAACCUCUAGUACCUUAGGGUGUGACCUUAUUUGGAGAUGCAGACAUUACAGAAGUAAUCAAGUUAAAGUGAGGUCAUUGGGAUGGGCCCUAAUCUGAUACAACUGGUAAUUUGGACACAGACACAUUCAGGCAGAACACCAUGUGAACAUAAAGAUGGUCAGGUACAAGCCAAAGGGGAGAGGCCUGGAACAGAUCCUUCCUUCACAGGCCUCAGAAGGAACCAACCCUGCCAACAUCUUGAUCUUGGACUUCUGGCCUCCAGACCUGUGAGACAACAAAUUUGUGAUCUUUUGUUAUGACAAUCCUAGCAAAAUACACUGUGACACCCAGUUUCUAAUCUGAUGACAAACGGAGGCAUCUACAAUCUCUGAGGGUGUGUGCAUUUGGGCACUCAUUUCACCACUGACUUCAUUUAUGUCCUAUUCUUUGUUUUCCAUUUGUUUCAUUUUUCUAAUUUUAUCUUCCAUUUUUAAAAAAGUUUACUGUACUAGACGUAACUUUUUAAGCUGCCUGAAAUUCUUCUUAGGUUUACAAAUGAUAUAAACUGGUAAAUAAAGAUGAUCAGACCUUAAGCACAUAUAGCACACAUGGCUGGGAUGAAACAACUAAGUAGCAAAAUAUUAAUUUAUAAAACAAAUUAAACAGCAAAAAAAGAAAAUAGUAAAAUCCAACUCUCCUGGACCAUUGGAGGAGGAACUGCAAGGGAUGAUGAAGAUUUCAUAGAGCAAAUGAUUUCUACACUCUGGGAAAGAAUUCUUCAGGCAGUACACCACUUUAAAAUGGUGCUUGACUCACCAAAACAUCAGAGCCGUCUUCAACUUUUCACAACGCAGAGCAGAGAAAGAGGAAGAUCACUUGUAGAUGGAGUGUGGCAGGAAUUUUGUGAAGUGUAUAAAGAAGUUAGCAAGUGUAUAAAGAAGAUAGCCAUUUACUAAGCAUCUGCUAUGUAGCAGGCACUCUGCUAGACAUUUGUUAUGGAAUGAAUCAUUUAAUCCUUGUAAUAAACUUGCAAGGAUAUAUUUUAGCCCACCCCCUACCUAAAACCAAUAAAUAUGUGGCUCAGAAAAGUAAAUUAACUGGUCUAAGAGCAAGUAAUUAGUAAAAAGUUGAGCUGGGAUUUGAUAUAAAGAAAAAUCUGAUCUAAACUUGAUAAUAUUUCUGCUUCCCCAAAUUGCCUCCUUAAAGUUUACACAUUGUUUGGUCUCUUCAAUACACAUCAAAAUUAUCAAUACCUAUAGAAAUGUCAAUGAAAAGUCUUCCUUUAAAUUAGAAUAUUUAGAAACUUUAGGCCCAGAGACUAAAAAGUAUGUGAAAUUAGUAUAAAAGUAUGUAAAAUGUUUGUAAAGAAAUGAUGAUAACUUCGUAGACCAAUGUGGCAUGUAAAACAUGUGGGCCACAGAGGGAGAUUAAGAAAAAAAUAUAUGCAAUCAUAAUAAUAAAAGUGGAGUUACUCCAGACUAUGCUUUUUGCCAAUUCUUUGGUGAGAAGGGAUUGGUAGUUAAUUAUAGAACCACUUUCUAUAUUAAUUCUAGAUAUUGUAUUCUAAUCCUUAGAAAGUAGGCUGUGGAAGAACUAAUAAUUGCCCUCAAGGACCCAUUCUCUUCUUCUCAUAAGAGAAUCUAUGGUUGCCCAACUAAAGCUUCUAUUUCGCAGCACUCAUUGCAGAUAGUUAUAGCUAUGGACUCAGUUCUGGCCAGUGGACUCUGAAUAAAGGUACUAUGUACACUGUUGGCUGUGCUCUUAAAGCUAAGGGAUGUGCCAUCUCAUCCCCUGUGCUCUCUUUGUUGGCUGGGAAGCUGGCAGGAUGAUAGGAGUUAAGCCAGCCAUUAUGGACUUUCAGAUGGAAACCAGCUGUUGAGGAUGAGAGAGCGACAAAAAGAAGACCGUCAAGAUUGUGGGGCUAAUUUACCAGCCUGAAUUGCCAACCUGUGUUUUUGUAUUACAGGCAAAUAAAGUAUGUGUUUUUAAAGUCGCUGUUAUUUUGAGUCUCAUUGUAACUGCAGCCAAACCAAUAUUCUAAUGAAUAAACUAUAUUCUAACUAAUAAUUAAACAGAACACUCCAUUCCCCAC
rnacentral:lncRNA from 1 species